UGCGCCUCCCAAGUGUUGGGUCUCUCCUGAUACUACAACUCCCAGGAUCCCCAAGCAAGGUGCCAUCCUGCCUGUGGAAGCAGGACCAAAGUGAUGUAACGAUGCCAUACAGACGGGCCUUUCUUUGGGUGGGUUUUGCUGUUAAAACUGGGACAUUUUGAGCCACCUCGUUAGCUGCCAACGAGGGACACCUGAGCCUCCCCUGAAGGAGGGAAGAAGGCCUCAAAAUGGCCGCCGGACGCUGCCUGAGGAGAUGCCGGCUUCCCCAGGGAGGGAGUAACUAAAUAAAAGCCACCUGUGAUAAAUCAAGGCAGCUAUCUGAGAUGCCAGGGACCUUAUCAAGGAUGCCUACCUGUAGGGUAACAAAGGCUGCUCUGCCUCAGGCAGCCGGAUGUCUUGGGUCAGUGCUGCUGCUUCUCCGUUUUGAGUGAAAUCUGAUGUAACUCAUGCCAUCAAGCACAACACCACCAAAAUGGGAAGAUAAUGUAAAGUAUCUAUAGGUGACCUUCAUUUCAAGCACAUGUUUGCUAUCUUUUCUUUAAUAUACAGGUAUCACAUAUUCCACUCCUCAUUUAACUG